rnacentral:rRNA from 1 species
CAAGUGAAGAGUUUGAUCCUGGCUCAGAUUGAACGCUGGCGGCAUGCCUAACACAUGCAAGUCGAACGAGAGCGGGGCAACUCGCUCUAGUGGCGGACGGGUGAGCAAUGCGUAGGAACCUGCCCUGAAGUGGGGGAUAGCCCGGCGAAAGCCGGAUUAAUACCGCAUGAUCUCGAAAGAGCAAAGUGGGGGAUCGCAAGACCUCACGCUUUUGGAGGGGCCUACGUCGGAUUAGCUAGUUGGUGGGGUAACGGCCCACCAAGGCGACGAUCCGUAGCUGGUCUGAGAGGAUGAUCAGCCACACCGGAACUGAGACACGGUCCGGACUCCUACGGGAGGCAGCAGUGGGGAAUAUUGGACAAUGGGCGCAAGCCUGAUCCAGCAAUGCCGCGUGGGUGAAGAAGGUCUUCGGAUUGUAAAGCCCUUUCGGCGGGGACGAUGAUGACGGUACCCGCAGAAGAAGCCCCGGCUAACUUCGUGCCAGCAGCCGCGGUAAUACGAAGGGGGCUAGCGUUGCUCGGAAUCACUGGGCGUAAAGGGCGCGUAGGCGGCUUGAUUAGUCAGGCGUGAAAUUCCUGGGCUUAACCUGGGGGCUGCGCUUGAUACGUUCAGGCUAGAGGAUGGAAGAGGCUCGUGGAAUUCCCAGUGUAGAGGUGAAAUUCGUAGAUAUUGGGAAGAACACCGGUGGCGAAGGCGGCGAGCUGGUCCGUACCUGACGCUGAGGCGCGACAGCGUGGGGAGCAAACAGGAUUAGAUACCCUGGUAGUCCACGCCGUAAACGAUGUCGACUAGCCGUUGGGAUCCUUGAGAUCUUAGUGGCGCAGCUAACGCAUUAAGUCGACCGCCUGGGGAGUACGGCCGCAAGGUUAAAACUCAAAUGAAUUGACGGGGGCCCGCACAAGCGGUGGAGCAUGUGGUUUAAUUCGAUGCAACGCGCAGAACCUUACCAGGGCUUGACAUGUCCGUGGUACCAACCCGAAAGGGGAGGGGACCCGCGAGGGAGCGGACACAGGUGCUGCAUGGCUGUCGUCAGCCCGUGCCGUGAGGCGUUGGGCUCACCCCCAGAACGGGCGAAACCCCCGUCGCCUGUUGCCCGGUAGCCGGGCUCUCAGGCGAGACCGCCGCCCGCCGGCGAUCCCAUGCGCCGGCGGGUCGGAGGAAGGUGGGGACGACGUCAAGUCGGUAUGGCCCUGAUGCCCUGGGCUACACACGCGCUACAGUGGGCGGUACAGCGGGAAGCCAACCUGCGAGGGGGAGCGAAUCCCAGAAAGCCGUCCGUGGUUCGGAUUGCAGGCUGCAACCCGCCUGCAUG